AAGUCGUAACAAGGUUUCCGUAGGUGAACCUGCGGAAGGAUCAUCAGUAAGAGGAUAUAUAUGACUCUAACGGAUGGAAGGCUUGUUGGAGGAUGGGGAGGAGAGGGGGAGGAUGGAGAUAGAGAUAGAGGAAGAGGAAAAUCUUCUCUACUCUCUCUCUACUCACACUCUCUCUAUUUCUUUCUCCUUUAACAAGGCAGGUCUUUCGGGACCACUGGCUGUUGAAGCUAGAUGACGGGGAAGAUCCUAGUGAUUGACCCGUGGAAAAAAGACAAACAUCAUCAAACAUCACAUUGAUAUUAUUGAUAUGUGAUGGAUGGAAUUUUAUUUUCUUAAUGAACAGGUUAUACUACAACGAGUGUAAUGCUCGUUGGAAAAAUGUAAAAAAACUUUUGGCAAUGGAUCUCUCGGCUCG
rnacentral:misc_RNA from 1 species